rnacentral:lncRNA from 1 species
CUCAUUUUUCUACUGCUCGUGGUAAGUGGCUUCGUGGUCUUUAUAGCUGUUACUCUUUUGUACUUUGUCUUUUUCUUUUAUUUUCUUUUGAGCGAUUGUGCGAACAUAGCAUAGCACGCACUAUGCCUUCUGUGUUGUAGCUGCCUGGCCAGGGCGACUGGCGGAUAAGGUCUUGUGCGUGGCCUCGAGGCUUAAAAGUAGCAGUGGGGCUUUGUGAAGGACAAAAUGGCGAUGGCGGGCCGUGUAGGUCCCCCUUCCUAUGAUGAGGACCUUUUCACAGACCUGUACUGAGCUCCGUGAGGAUAAAUAACUCUGAGGAGAUGGGCCCUGCAAGCCUCUUGCUUAGCCGUCUGUUCAGAAAAUAGCGUUUUCGAAAUGCCCUGAGUUGACCUAAUGUCUUAUUGGGCUCCUGUCUGCAGGAUUUACGCGCACGUUGGAACCGAAGAGAGCUCUGUUGUUGCAAUGUUCAGCCCACAAGAGCUUACUGGUGAAGGAAUGGGACAAGACCCAUCUUUAUGCAAAGCCAGCGUUACAGUAAUGUUCCAGCAUCUCAUAAUCUAUCCUGGGGAAUUCAGCUGCCUCCCAGGGUGAAUACAGGUAUUCCUGAUGACAGUCUGCCUCUAUCUUACAGUAAGUUGUUUUUCGAAUUCUAUGGGCCUAUUAUCUAAUAGAUAACUUAGCCAUUUUGAUAUUUGUUACCAAAGCCUGCUUAACCCAUAAAGUUUUCUGGUUCCUCUUGUUCUCUGUAGUGAUGUUUCUAGAUAGAUGCCCACUGAUAUAUGCCCCUUUUUUCUCAGAUAGAUGCCCACUGAUCUGCCCAGGGUCAGACGAAUGCUUGUCAGUUGUAGCUUUCCAGGAUUCUGCUCCAAUGAGGAGGAAACAUCCUGCCUUACCCCUGUUUUAGCCUGGGAACCAGUAAUUGUGAACUCACCAGGGUUAACAUGAAGAGGGCAUGAGAGCUUAUUCCAUAAGGAAUUGUCUGAGACAUUUGGUUACCUUUUCUUAGUUUGUCCAUUAGCAACCGUAACUAAAAUAGUUUUGGCUGUUUGGGAUAAUUAGCUAAUUGAAU